ensembl:lncRNA
GGCUGCUCCAAAAGUAAUGCCUCCUGUUUCAUGACGUCCACCCACCACAUCAGAGGCGGAUGGUGGUGGUACAGCAGUAGAGGUGGAACCUUCCCACCAAUAUCCCGUUCCAUGUUGUUGCUGUGUGACAGAUGGCAGCAGAAGGGCAGUCUGACACAGCGGUGUCUGACACGGAAGUGCAGAUGAAGCAAAGAUUUUCUCAUACUGAAAGACUUAACAAGAUACGAAAUCUUCUGGGCAGCCCCUCUUGUUGAGUGCAAACACCACGUUAACACAGCCAGCAAGCUUCAGAGAAACCUGUAAGCCAUCUGCUGAUCUCUCUGCAGGGCUCACCGAGAGCAGCUGCCUGUGUCACACUACAGAGGGGAAAGAGAAGGCACCAAAUUUCAGAAGCGAUACCCAUGAAGCUCAUGGAAUCUUCAUGGAAGACAUGUUAAGGCAUAGGAGAGAUGAGGAGGUGGUCUUGUAGAGCCAGCAUGACUUCAACAAG